UACGUAGGGUCCAAGCGUUAUCCGGAAUCACUGGGCGUAAAGCGUCCGCAGCCGGCGCGUUAAGUGAGAUGUGAAACCGUGUGGCUCAACCAUACGUUGUGUCUCAUACUGGCGUGCUAGAGGGAAGCAGAGGCAAAUGGAAUUGGCAGUGUAGCAGUGAAAUGCGUAGAGAUUGCCAGGAACACCAAUGGCGAAGGCAGUUUGCUGGGCUUCUUCUGACGGUCAUGGACGAAAGCGUGGGGAGCGAACAGG
rnacentral:rRNA from 1 species